rnacentral:rRNA from 1 species
AUACAGAGGGUGCGAGCGUUAAUCGGAAUUACUGGGCGUAAAGCGCGCGUAGGCGGCUACUUAAGUCAGAUGUGAAAUCCCCGGGCUCAACCUGGGAACUGCAUCUGAUACUGGGUAGCUAGAGUUUUGGAGAGGGAAGUAGAAUUUCAGGUGUAGCGGUGAAAUGCAUAGAGAUCUGAAGGAAUACCAGUGGCGAAGGCGACUUCCUGGCCAAAAACUGACGCUGAGGUGCGAAAGCGUGGGUAGCAAACGGGAUUAGAAACCCUGGUAGUCC